AAUAAUCUUUUGUCCCUCAUGGGACAAUACUGAAAGACGGUUUCGGCUGUCGCUAUAGGAUGGGCCCGCGGCGCAAUAACUAGUUGGUGAGGUAACGGCUCACCAAGGCAACGAUGCGUAACCCACCUGAGAGGGUGAUCGGCCACACUGGGACUGAAACACGGCCCAAACUCCUACGGGAGGCAGCAGUAGGGAAUCUUCCACAAUGGGCGAAAGCCUGAUGGAACAACGCCGCGUGAGUGAAGAAGGAUUUCGGUUCCUAAAACUCUGUUGUAAGGGAAGAACAAGUACAGUAAUAACUGGCUGUACCUUGACGGUACCUUAUUAAAAAGCCACGGCUAACUACCUGCCAGCAGCCGCGGUAAUACGUAAGUGGCAAGCGUUGUCCGGAAUUAUUGGGCGUAAAGCGCGCGCAGGUGGUUUCUUAAGUCUGAUGUGAAAGCCCACGGCUCAACCGUGGAAGGUCAUUGGAAACUGGGAGACUUGAGUGCAGAAGAGGAUAGUGGAAUUCCAAGUGUAGCGGUGAAAUGCGUAGAGAUUUGGAGGAACACCAGUGGCGAAGGCGACUAUCUGGUCUGUAACUGACACUGAAGCGCGAAAGCGUGGGGAGCAAACAGGAUUAGAUACCCUGGUAGUCCACGCCGUAAACGAUGAGUGCUAAGUGUUAGGGGGUUUCCGCCCCUUAGUGCUGCAGCUAACGCAUUAAGCACUCCGCCUGGGGAGUACGGUCGCAAGACUGAAACUCAAAGGAAUUGACGGGGGCCCGCACAAGCGGUGGAGCAUGUGGUUUAAUUCGAAGCAACGCGAAGAACCUUACCAGGUCUUGACAUCCCGUUGACCACUGUAGAGAUAUGGUUUUCCCUUCGGGGACAACGGUGACAGGUGGUGCAUGGUUGUCGUCAGCUCGUGUCGUGAGAUGUUGGGUUAAGUCCCGCAACGAGCGCAACCCUUGAUCUUAGUUGCCAUCAUUUAGUUGGGCACUCUAAGGUGACUGCCGGUGACAAACCGGAGGAAGGUGGGGAUGACGUCAAAUCAUCAUGCCCCUUAUGACCUGGGCUACACACGUGCUACAAUGGACGAUACAAACGGUUGCCAACUCGCGAGAGGGAGCUAAUCCGAUAAAGUCGUUCUCAGUUCGGAUUGUAGGCUGCAACUCGCCUACAUGAAGCCGGAAUCGCUAGUAAU
rnacentral:rRNA from 1 species